rnacentral:rRNA from 1 species
GUAGGCGAACGGGUGAGUAACACGUGAGCAACCUGCCUUAGACAUUGGGAUAGCCUCGGGAAACCGGGAUUAAUACCAAAUGAAAUCACAUAUGCACAUGCAUAAAUGAUCAAAGCUCCGGCGGUCUAAGAUGGACUCGCGUCCCGUUAGCUAGUUGGUGAGGUAACGGCCCACCAAGGCGACGAUGGGUAGCCGGCCUGAGAGGGUGAACGGCCACAUUGGAACUGAGAAACGGUCCAAACUCCUACGGGAGGCAGCAGCC